UAGGAGGAGGAAAAUCACUACGUACUUCUGCCUGUCGUCAGGGUGUAUUCGACUCGCACGGACUAAAAGAACCUCCCCCUCUGCGAGAUCAGCAUGGGACCGUAUUAUAAUUUUCGUGCUGAUCC